rnacentral:rRNA from 1 species
UGGGCGUAAGGGCUCGCAGGCGGUUUCUUAAGUCUGAUGUGAAAGCCCCCGGCUCAACCGGGGAGGGUCAUUGGAAACUGGGAAACUUGAGUGCAGAAGAGGAGAGUGGAAUUCCACGUGUAGCGGUGAAAUGCGUAGAGAUGUGGAGGAACACCAGUGGCGAAGGCGACUCUCUGGUCUGUAACUGACGCUGAGGAGCGAAAGCGUGGGGAGCGAACAGGAUUAGAUACCCUGGUAGUCCACGCCGUAAACGAUGAGUGCUAAGUGUUAGGGGGUUUCCGCCCCUUAGUGCUGCAGCUAACGCAUUAAGCACUCCGCCUGGGGAGUACGGUCGCAAGACUGAAACUCAAAGGAAUUGACGGGGGCCCGCACAAGCGGUGGAGCAUGUGGUUUAAUUCGAAGCAACGCGAAGAACCUUACCAGGUCUUGACAUCCUCUGACAACCCUAGAGAUAGGGCUUUCCCUUCGGGGACAGAGUGACAGGUGGUGCAUGGUUGUCGUCAGCUCGUGUCGUGAGAUGUUGGGUUAAGUCCCGCAACGAGCGCAACCCUUGAUCUUAGUUGCCAGCAUUCAGUUGGGCACUCUAAGGUGACUGCCGGUGACAAACCGGAGGAAGGUGGGGAUGACGUCAAAUCAUCAUGCC